AAGUUCUUCCUAUUCCCAUUGAGGUUUCUCUGGAGGAUGCAACUAGCCUUCCCCUCGUUGCAUGUAUAUUGUCUGGUCAACUAUUUUUAUAAUAACAGACUAUAUUAGGGGAAACCUUGUAGGUAAGCGUGAUUAUUGAUAUUCUAUUAUUGAUUUUUUCUUUGCUUUUGAUCUUAAUAUAUAUUUAUCUUUGUGUUGCCUAAUAGUUCGUG
rnacentral:lncRNA from 1 species